rnacentral:tRNA from 1 species
UAGCUCAGAUGGUAAAGCGUCUGCCUGCAAUGCAGGAGACCCGGGUUCGAUCCCUGG